AACACAUGCAGUCGAACGAAGCGAUUAGGAUGAAGUUUCGGAUGGAUCCUGGUUGACUGAGUGGCGGACGGGUGAGUAACGCGUGGAUAACCUGCCUCACACUGGGGGAUAACAGUUAGAAAUGGCUGCUAAUACCGCAUAAGCGCACAGUACCGCAUGGUACGGUGUGAAAAACCCAGGUGGUGUGAGAUGGAUCCGCGUCUGAUUAGCCAGUUGGCGGGGUAACGGCCCACCAAAGCGACGAUCAGUAGCCGACCUGAGAGGGUGACCGGCCACAUUGGGACUGAGACACGGCCCAAACUCCUACGGGAGGCAGCAGUGGGGAAUAUUGCACAAUGGGCGCAAGCCUGAUGCAGCGACGCCGCGUGAGUGAAGAAGUAUCUCGGUAUGUAAAGCUCUAUCAGCAGGGAAGAAAAUGACGGUACCUGACUAAGAAGCCCCGGCUAACUACGUGCCAGCAGCCGCGGUAAUACGUAGGGGGCAAGCGUUAUCCGGAUUUACUGGGUGUAAAGGGAGCGUAGACGGCGACGCAAGUCUGGAGUGAAAGCCCGGGGCCCAACCCCGGGACUGCUUUGGAAACUGUGCUGCUGGAGUGCAGGAGAGGUAAGUGGAAUUCCUAGUGUAGCGGUGAAAUGCGUAGAUAUUAGGAGGACACCAGUGGCGAAGGCGGCUUACUGGACUGUAACU
rnacentral:rRNA from 1 species